rnacentral:misc_RNA from 1 species
UUUCCGUAGGUGAACCUGCGGAAGGAUCAUUACCGAGUGAGGGUUUCUCAGGCCCUACCUCCCACCCUGUGUUUUUGUGACCUUGUUGCUUUGGCGGGCCCGCCUCGAUGAGAGGCCGCCGGAAGCUCACCGCUUUGGGCCCGUUCCCGUCAGUAGCCCCCUUAAAUUCUUAAUAAACCUGUCAUCUGAGUUAAUGGAUAUAAUGAAAAAAAAACUUUUAACAACGGAUCUCUUGGUUCUG